ACGUAGGGUGCAAGCGUUAAUCGGAAUUACUGGGCGUAAAGCGUGCGCAGGCGGUUUCGUAAGACAGAUGUGAAAUCCCCGGGCUUAACCUGGGAACUGCAUUUGUGACUGCGAGGCUAGAGUGUGUCAGAGGGGGGUGGAAUUCCACGUGUAGCAGUGAAAUGCGUAGAGAUGUGGAGGAACACCGAUGGCGAAGGCAGCCCCCUGGGAUAACACUGACGCUCAGGCACGAAAGCGUGGGGAGCAAACAGGA
rnacentral:rRNA from 1 species